AAGCAGGGAGAGCUUGGAGGUAAACCUAAUUGUUUGUUUAAGUACAUCACAAAUUCUUAAGGAACAACUGCUGGGCAAUUUGUGCGAAUGAGCGGAUUUUGUCCCUUAAAAACCUACAAAAAGAAUUGCGGCAGGUCUGAACUUAGUAAGUCUGCCUUCAAAUCAGCCCAUAUCUUGUGUCCAUUGGGAAGGUGUAAAUCCACUACCUGAGCCAGUUGUGUC